UGGAGGUGUUCGGCCGAGUUUGACUUCCUGAACUGUGUUGGGGUUGGCCCGCCGUGGUUUGCGAGCCAGGCUCUGGCUGUGGAGGUCCCGGGUUCAGCUGUCCCGACUCGGGUGUGGCGGUCGCUAUGUUCUUCUCCCAGGCUGGGGCCCGGCCACAGAUGUGGGAAGUCAGCCCCUCAGAACACAAGAAGUGGGUUGAAGUAUUUAAAGCGUGCGAUGAAGAUAACAAAGGCUAUCUAAGCAGAGAGGACUUUAAAGUUGCUGUUGUAAUGCUGUUUGGGUACAAGCCCUCCAAGAUAGAAGCUGAUUCUGUGAUGUCUUCAGUAGAUCCAAACACUUCCGGGAUAUUACUUGAGGGAUUUUUAAACAUUGUAAGGCAAAAGAAGGAAGUUCAACUAUAUUGGAAUGAAAUAAGACACAUCUUCACAGCUUUUGACAGGCACUAUCGUGGAUAUUUAACUCUGGAAGAUUUCACAAAAGCGUUUAGGCAGGUGGCUCCCAAGUUACCGGAGAGGAUUAUUCUUGAGGUAUUCAGGGAAGUAGAUCAAGACUCAGAUGGUCACAUCAGCUUUAAAGACUUCGAAUAUGCCAUGAACUAUGGACAGAAGUAAGCCUAACUUUGGGGUAUUGUCUUGGCAACUUCCAGGGAGACCAACAGGUUGUGAUGUAUUUAAAGGUCAAAUUCCACUCUACAAAUGUAAUGCUGCAUACCUUCGAUUACACGCUUCAUCGUGGUUUUCAAAUGCUGAUAAUUGCUUGCAUCUCAUAAUCCUAGAUGUGGUUGUUACAGGCAGUCUCCUUCUAGAUGGCUAGCAGUCCUGAGUCAGGCUGCUGCUGGCACUGCCACUGGGGUGGUCCCCAGCCCUUCCUCUUCACUCCCCGUCCCCCAACUCCACCCCGCACUGCAGGCCGGGAUGCUCCACUCAUUUACUGGUCCUCACUACCCCACCCGCAGGCUCCCUGAGCCUCAUCAGUUCCCAAAGUUAGGAGAGGGUUGCUUUUUCCUGCCAGUGGUGCCAGUUUCCUUCAUGCACUCAGCUUUGGUUGAAUAAAUAAUAGUACCUACAUGUACUGAGCUUUUACUAACUACAUUCCAAGCAAUGAGCUAGGUGUUGGGAAAAGAAAGACUUAAGACUUGUCUAGGAUGAUGUAGUAGAGUCAAAAUCAUCACUGCAAAAUGGCCCCAGCGCACUAGUUGUGCAAGACAAAGAAACAAGAUUGCACUGACAUUAGUAAGUCUUCUUCAGCUGUUUCCAGAGGCAGAACAGAGUGCUGUAAGGAUAUUGGAGCAAAGACUUAUUUGCAGAACCCGUUAGAAUGGCCUGGGCCUAGGGUUCCUCCUGCAGAACUGCAAGCCCUGUGCUGCCUGGCUGCCCUCUGCUGUGCCCUCCCGGGUUCUGGGAGGUUUUUGCCCUCUGCCAGGAGCCUUCACCAUCUGUGUUCACGUUCUCCACUCCGCCUCCGCACCUGGGAUCUGGUGACUGCUACACUGGAACAAAAGCUGUGACACUGGACAUUCAGCACUUAUUUUAAAUAAAUACUAGUAUCAAUCCUAAUAUUUUAUCUGUAAAUGUUCAGAAUUCCAAACAUUGACAACACUGUGAAAACAUAUAAUACAAUCCAAAUUUUAAAAAUAUUGAAGGUCAAGGAAAAAUGUAAACCUGUAAAACAGAAACAUUAAACGAACCUCAUUCUAAUACAGAUUAUUAGCAGAUGAACUUAAUAAACUGUCAUAAAUCCAAAAAGCCUAGAGAGGCAUAACAACUAAAUGUAACUUGGUGUUCUGGACGGGAUCCUGGAAUACAAGAAAGGAAGGAUUUUAGGUAAACCCUAAUAAGAUACGGACUUUAGUUAAUAAUAUUAUGUACCUAUUGGUUCAUUCCUUGUGACACGUACUAUGCGCAUAGAAGACGUCAAUCACAGGAGAAACGGGUGAGGGGUACUUGGGAACUCUCUGUACUAUCUUCAUAAUUCUUCUAGGAACCUAAAACUGUUCCAAAAUAAAAAGGUUAAAAAACAAAGUCUUAUUCUAAAAUUCGCAUACAAAACAUUCUCUAAAAUGAAGAAAACUUUGAAAAUCAUUAAGAAGUACAAUUGAAACAUCAUUUCAAGAACAACGUAGAUCAGUGGUGUCAUUGAGCAUCCUGUGUGUUUUAGGACAGAUUGUUCUGGCUGAUGAAAAGCCCUUUCUGACUCUGGGUACAGUUUUAUUAGCAAGUAUUUUCAUCAUAAAUUGAAUAAGUUGAGUCAUUGAUCCUCAUCCCAAUACAUGAGUGAUAGUGAUUUUAGAUUGUGAAAAUAUAAAAAUCAGAGCAAUCCACCAGCACAAUGCCCGUAUUUCAGUAAUUGCCAGAAUUCCGAAACCUUGCAUUGCAUCACUCUUUGACCCCCUUUCUCCCUGGAAACAUGACAGGAGAAAGGGAGAGCUCACUCCCGCCAGCUGAGUGGGAGCAGGAGGCCAGGGUGGGAACAGCUGUUGGGCAAUUUCCUCGACCCUGGAUUAGUCCAGGCUCUCUUCGGUCUCAAACUAGCUUAGAUGAAAAAGGAAUUUUACUAGAAAAUACUGGGCUAGCUUAUGGAACCUAACAUAGCGAAAGCAGUGGUGCAACUGGGUUUCCAGGAAAAUGAGAACCAGCAACGCAAGCACCUCCAGACCCUGCCCCCAUCCCACAGGCACCAUCAGCCUCACACCAUUCUUUAAGGAACUGGCCCAUGAUCUGUCCUGUUCCACAUGCAGAGACCCUAGAAAGAGGCUCUGCUUGGCUCCUGGAUCAGUCAACUCUGCUUCAUCCUGAGAGUCUAGACUUGGUCACUGGGCACGCACCUAGAAGAAAACAGCAUGGCCUGGACCUUCUCAAGGAGGGAGAGCCCCUCUAGGAUUUGCUGCCUAGGAGGGCCCAGGUUCACAGAGCAGAGCACAGAACAAAAGAGACGGGAGGUGAGAAGCUUCUCAUGUCACCACCCAUCUUAUCACUUCCCCUAAGCCCCAUCCAGAUCCUCAUCCUGUGAGCUUCACUCCAGCUUCUCACUUCCAGGUCCCUGCCCCAAGCCACGAUGCUGUCUGUAGUGUGACCUUACUGUUCUGCCCUCAAUUAAAUGGCCCAAGGGUGGCCAUGUACGCAGGUUGAUCAACUCAGCCUCUUCCCUUGGAGACAUCAGGAGACUGAGUGAGACGCAGCAGCGCUCCUCUGGCCGAGUGAGUGGGUGUGACUCAGGAGCAAGUGGCAGACGUGUUUGCCACCACAUGGCCUGGAAAACCAAGGCAGCUGGCUUGCAACAAGAGCAGAAGAUGAAAUAGACACCAAGAGGAGAGCAAGGAGGCAGCUCGAGAAUCCCUGUGGUGCUUGAUUUCUGGCUAAAGCUUGUACACAAGGCCCAGUCAUAACCCUUUGGGUCCUAUGAGGUAACCCUGUAUCCUUCCAAUAAACCUUUCUGCUCAAGCCA